UACAGAGGUCUCAAGCGUUGUUCGGAUUCAUUGGGCGUAAAGGGUGCGUAGGCGGCGCGGUAAGUCGGGGUGUGAAAUCUCGGAGCUUAACUCCGAAACUGCAUUCGAUACUGCCGUGCUUGAGGACUGGAGAGGAGACUGGAAUUUACGGUGUAGCGGUGAAAUGCGUAGAUAUCGUAAGGAAGACCAGUGGCGAAGGCGGGUCUCUGGACAGUUCCUGACGCUGAGGCACGAAGGCCAGGGGAGCAAACGGGG
rnacentral:rRNA from 1 species